rnacentral:rRNA from 1 species
GGGCGAAAGCCUGAAGCAGCAACGCCGCGUGUGUGAUGAAGGCCUUCGGGUCGUAAAGCACUUUUCUGGGAGAUGAGAAAGGACAGUAUCCCAGGAAUAAGUCUCGGCUAACUACGUGCCAGCAGCCGCGGUAAAACGUGGAGGCGAGCGUUAUCCGGAUUCACUGGGCGUAAAGCGCGUGCAGGUGGCGCGGUAAGUUGGGCGUGAAAGCUCCCGGCUCAACUGGGGGAGGUCGUCCAAUACUACCGUGCUUGAGAGCAGAAGAGGAAGAUGGAAUUCCCGGUGUAGUGGUGAAAUGCGUAGAUAUCGGGAGGAACACCAGUGGCGAAGGCGAUCUUCUGGUCUGUUUCUGACACUCAGACGCGACAGCUAGGGUAGUAAACGGGAUUAGAGACCCCGGUAAUCCUAGCCGUAAACGAUGUGAACUUGGCGUUGGUGGGUUAAACUCCAUCAGUGCCGUAGCAAACGCGAUAAGUUCACCGCCUGGGGACUACGGCCGCAAGGUUA